UUUAACAGCCAUUGGAUUAAUCUCGUUCUUUUGUUAGUAUGGUGCACAUUUCACAAAAAAUUCCUUCUCCCUUAGGUCUUCUUCCUCAUCUUCGGCACCUCCUCACUUCCUAACAUCGUUGACCUCGUCAUUCUCUCUAGCCAACGCGACAACCAAAGCCCGACGAUGUCGAGGCUAUCGUAGAACUCCCUAUGAUGUCCAAGGAGUGAUUGAAAAAGAAAUCAAUUUUUUUUGUGCUAAAUCUUUGGAUCUGAUUUUGGGGGAGGAGCACUUCCUGCAGCAUUUGGGACGAUGGUGGGUGCAUCUGGACGGAGCCUUUGGAGGCAGUGGAAGAGCAGCCAGAAACGGAAAAGAGUCUGCCAGAGAAGGAGGAAGAGUAAGAACGGUAAAGCUUUUAGUAUGGAGGGUGUAUAAUAUGACUCUGCACCUUAAAUUAAUCCAAGAGCCACUAUUAUUUGUUCUUGGUGGACCACUUAUAAAAGUGGUCUACCGUAGAAGCCGUCAUUAUUUAUCACAAAAAAAAAAUGAACAAAAUGUAAUAAACACAAAAGAACAACUAGUUUUUCUUCCUUC